AAGUCGUAACAAGGUUUCCGUAGGUGAACCUGCGGAAGGAUCAUUAACGAGUAAGGGUCUUCUAGGCCCGACCUCCCACCCUUUGUCGUCGAACAAAUCUUGUUACUUUGGCGGGACCGCCCGAUCCCUAAUCGGAUUGGCUGCCGGGUCUCCGACCGGGUAAGCGCCCGCCGGAGAAUCAUUAAAAUCUGACAUUUGAACAUUCUGUCUGAGUAGAUUUAUACAAAUCAGUCAAAA
rnacentral:misc_RNA from 1 species